rnacentral:rRNA from 1 species
CCUACGGGGGGCAGCAGUGAGGAAUAUUGGUCAAUGGGCGCGAGCCUGAACCAGCCAAGUCGCGUGAAGGAUGACUGCCCUACGGGUUGUAAACUUCUUUUAUAAAGGAAUAAAGUGAGGCACGUGUGCCUUUUUGUAUGUACUUUAUGAAUAAGGAUCGGCUAACUCCGUUCCAGCAGCCGCGGUAAUACGGAGGAUUCGAGCGUUAUCCGGGUUUAUUGGGGUUAAAGGGAGCGUAGAUGGGUUGUUAAGUCAGUUGUGAAAGUUUGCGGCUCAACCGUGGAAUUGCAAUUGAUACUGGCAGCCUUGAGUACAGUUGAGGUAGGCGGAAUUCGUGGUGUAGCGGUGAAAUGCUUAGAUAUCACGAAGAACUCCGAUUGCGAAGGCAGCUUACUAAACUGCCACUGACAUUGAUGCACGAAAGUGUGGGUAGCAAACAGGAUUAGAUACCCUGGUAGUC